UAUCCAGUGACAUUAAUUUAUAUCGACAUCAUAUCGUUGCGUGUUCAAAUCACGUCGGGGCUUCCAAUAUUCCGGUGGUGUGUGUUGACGGAAUUAAUUAAAAAUAAGUGUAACAACGAUAAAAAUAUUUAUUUAUUUUGGAGAAUGGUUCAAUCAUGCAAAAAAAUGGAGGAGCACAGACUACUAAGAAUUGCGAUAGAAGGAAAACCAGCUGGCAAGCGUCCACCGGAGAGACCACCAAAAAAUGGAGAGAUAGCUGGUAGUCUUCCUCUCAAGAAAUACUUCAACGUUAGAAUCAACAAAUAGACAGAUUUACAACAGGUAUAUGAAGAAGAAGAAGACUUUUUUGUAACUUCUUAUUAAAUGAAUUCUUAUCUUGAUAUUAAA